CGUGCUCCCUUAUUUCUGCUUAUCAUCACCUGUUAUAAAAUGAGAACAAUGCCUUGCUAGUUGACUUACUCUUCCACUGUCAAAGCCCUGUUUCCUGAAGCAUUCUCCCCUGUUCUGAAAUAACUCUCUGGGUUCACCGUCAUGCUGUGGAUGUUUGGUCAGGACGUGUCGUUUAAAUUUGUUUGUUUUGAGAGAAUCAUUACUAAGCACUUCCCCGCACAAAACACAUUGCGGGCAAUCCUCGCUAUUUCUCAAAGUUUGUACAAAACCAAGAGUGAGAAACUCAUCGCUGUAUUUGCGUUUCAUGACGAUUGAGCUCAGUCAGAACUUGUGGCUAGCUUGAGUCCAUUUGAUGACAGUGGUACGUGAUGGAGAGAGGGAAUGACAAGUCAGCGGCGGACAGCACAUCAUCUGCUGUUGAACAACAGAGCUGCAGCGUGUGGGUCGCAGAGUGAUGUUCACGAAAACUGCAGAAAAAAGACCCGGUAAACGACGAAGCAUACAUCUUCCUCCCAUUCGAGCAGCUGUCAAACAGAGCUGAGAUACCGCUGCUAAACAGAUGCCCGGCAUCAGAACAUUCCAGGCAUUCCCGUGAUUGGCAGAUAGCAGGUUGAUUGGCAUAGCAGACCCUGCAAACACUGGGUACUGUCAGAACAAUGAUUCAUUCUGAGCCCUGGGCCCUGGCUGGA
ensembl:lncRNA